rnacentral:lncRNA from 1 species
ACUCGGGCCACGCAGCUGGAACCUGGAAAUUAGGAUUGGAAUCCUGAACUCCUAAAUCCAAACUACAGACUGGAAGUUACCAAAAAAUGUCACAGUGGUUCCUUGAUCAGGAGGCGAAGGAGGCGGUCUAGAGGGAAGAGCACUUUGGUCAAAGGAUCAGGUGCAUAAAUGCGGAGGAAUGAGGAUGCCCGGCUUGCUGGAGGAUCAAGGGAAGUCCAGAUGGCCUGCAGGAGCCAAGAAGUCUGGAGCAGCCAAAAAAACACAAAAGAAGUGCAACAAAAGAAGCUCCUGCCUUGACUGAUUGACCAGCCUUACGACGUUCCACCAUUAUGAAUUGUUCCUGUCCUGCCCCAACUGAUCAAUCGACCUUGUGACAUUCUUCUUCUGGACAAUGAAUCUUAUGAUCUCCCCACCAUGGACCCUGUGACCCCCUCCUCUGCUGACAAUAGAUAACCACCUCUAACUGUAACAUUCCACUGCCUACCUCAGUCCUAUAAAGCUGCCCCUCUCCUAUCUACCUUCGCUGACUCUCUUUUCGUACUCAGCCCACUUGCACCCAAGUGAAUAAACAGCCCUGUUGCUCACACAAAGCCUGUUUAGGUGGUCUUCUAUACGGACACAUGUGACAGAUAGCCAAUGGGUAAAACAACCAAGAAGACUGCUUUUGUCACUUAUGACGAGCUUUUACAGUUUCCCAGUUAGAUGGGAGAGAUUAUAAUUUAGUGAGGAUACAUCCUGGGAGAUGAAGAUGACCCUAUGUACAUCUUCCAGUCCAAUUAUAAGGCACAUAUGGCCAGCCAUGUGACCCACAUGCCCAUAAUCAACCCCAAGGAGAAGUACAAGCACCUAGCCAUAAAGACUCAUUUUGCCAUCCCAUCCACGUUUGGCUAGUUACAAGAAGGGUGCAAUUAUAGUGUUGGGGUAGUAACCAUUCCAUGUUACAGGUUUCAGUGUAGUAAUCACUGCUAUUGUCUUUCAAAGCAUAGGGGCACUCUGCCUAAUACCUGAACUUAGACAGCUGUCAUCCAUUCAUCGUGUACAGUAUAACCUUACGUCAGAGUGGAGUUUAAUUUUCUGAUCAAACAAAAAAGAGGCUUCUUUGUUUCACGGUGGGAAGGGAAAGGGCUGGGCCCUGUGUUUCUGUAGUAGAAGGGAAAAAGGGUGGUCCAUUUACCCCAAUCAUAAUAAUUUCCCCAUAUGCUCAUAGUGGCUGGCAGGAUGUGCCAGGGCAGCCUGAGGUGGAGGAGGCAUUAGUUCCGUGCAUACUCAGCAAUUAGUGUUGUUGUGUAGGGAGGCUAAAGUCUGUGCCCAUUUGGCAAAGAGAUUGCUUCUUAGCUGGUUCCAAUACAUGCGCAGAAUUAAGAUGUUAAUCCAAAUCUUUAAGUUAUU